CAAAUGGCUGUGAACAGAAACAAGUAGGCGCUGUAAGCGAAGAUUUCCCAAGAGAGCCGGCGGAAGCUGAGAAGCCGGCGGAAUCGGAAGGCGCCGAAUGGACUCUGGAGCCGGGAGCCAGUCUCCCCGGGCUAAUCCCCGUUAUCGGAUCCAAGGCUGGAUGUUUCAGCGAAUUAGGGUGGCACCACGGUCUCUCGUCCCUUGC
rnacentral:ncRNA from 1 species